rnacentral:rRNA from 1 species
CAGUCGCCGCGGUAAAACGAGGGGGGCAAGCGUUGUUCGGGAUUAUUGGGCGUAAAGGGCGCGUAGGCGGUUUGGCAAGUUUGGUGUGAAAUCUUCGGGCUCAACUCGAAGUCUGCAUCGAAAACUGCCGGGCUUGAGUAUGGGAGAGGUGAGUGGAAUUUCCGGUGUAGUGGUGAAAUGCGUAGAUAUCGGAAGGAACACCUGUGACGAAAGCGGCUCACUGGACCAUAACUGACGCUGAGGCGCGAAAGCUAGGGGAGCAAACAGGAUUAGAGACCCCCGUAGUCCCUGUCUCUUAUAC